GCAAGUCGAACGAAGAGGUCUUUUCGGAGAUACUUCAGUGGCGGACGGGUGAGUAACGCGUUGACAAUCUGCCUUAUACAGGGGGAUAACGUCUGGAAACGGGCGCUAAUACCGCAUAUAAGUAGCACUGGGAUGUGUUAUUUAAAAGGAGUAAUCCGGUAUAAGAUGAGUCUGCGUGCGAUUAGUUAGUUGGUGGGGUAACGGCUCACCAAGACGAUGAUCGCUAGUUGGUCUGAGAGGAUGGCC
rnacentral:rRNA from 1 species